UACGGAGGGUGCAAGCGUUAUCCGGAUUCACUGGGUUUAAAGGGUGCGUAGGAGGGCAGGUAAGUCAGUGGUGAAAUCCCCGAGCUUAACUUGGGAACUGCCGUUGAUACUAUCUGUCUUGAAUACCGUGGAGGUGAGCGGAAUAUGUCAUGUAGCGGUGAAAUGCUUAGAUAUGACAUAGAACACCAAUUGCGAAGGCAGCUCACUACGGGAUUAUUGACACUGAGGCACGAAAGCGUGGGGAUCAAACAGG
rnacentral:rRNA from 1 species